CAGUUGCCACGGUUCUCCUAGCAACAAAUGGCAGGCUUGAAUAGGCAUUACGUCGCACACAACUUCGUCUUGAUACUUACUGAUAGAAAAGGCGAUGCGCACUUGUUGAGUGACCCUAAAUUGGCCUUCGUUGCUAAGCCCUUGUAGUUGAUAAGGUUGUGGAUGCUUGGUAGUGGUUAAGCAAAGCUUUUCCACCAUCGUCGUGCUGGCUAUGUUCGAGCAACUUUCACC
rnacentral:lncRNA from 1 species